rnacentral:rRNA from 1 species
CAGCCGCCGCGGUAAUACGUAGGGUGCGAGCGUUAAUCGGAAUUACUGGGCGUAAAGCGUGCGCAGGCGGUUCGUUAAGACAGAUGUGAAAUCCCCGGGCUUAACCUGGGAACUGCAUUUGUGACUGGCGAGCUAGAGUAUGGCAGAGGGGGGUAGAAUUCCACGUGUAGCAGUGAAAUGCGUAGAGAUGUGGAGGAAUACCGAUGGCGAAGGCAGCCCCCUGGGCCAAUACUGACGCUCAUGCACGAAAGCGUGGGAAGCAAACAGGAUUAGAGACCCGUGUAGUCCCUGUCUCUUAUAC